UACGUAGGGGGCGAGCGUUGUCCGGAGUUACUGGGCGUAAAGGGCAUGCAGGCGGUCAGGCGCGUUUUGUGUGACAGCGGAUGGCUUAACUAUCCGAGGAUACGAGAUACGGCGUGACUUGAGAGCGCGAGAGGGACACGGAAUUCCGGGUGGAGUGGUGAAAUGCGUAGAGAUCCGGAGGAACACCGAAGGCGAAGGCAGUGUCCUGGCGCGUAUCUGACGUGAGGUGCGAAAGCCAGGGGAGCGAACGGG
rnacentral:rRNA from 1 species